rnacentral:rRNA from 1 species
UGAGGAAUUUUCCGCAAUGGGCGAAAGCCUGACGGAGCGACGCCGCGUGUGUGAUGAAGUCUUUCGGGAUGUAAAACACUGUCGGCAGGGACGAUAUUGACGGUACCUGCAGAGGAAGGCCCGGCUAACUACGUGCCAGCAGCCGCGGUAAUACGUAGGGGCCAAGCGUUGUUCGGAAUUACUGGGCGUAAAGAGCACGUAGGCGGCUUUGUAAGUCAGUUGUAAAAUCUCUCAGCUUAACUGAGAAUCUGCAAUUGAUACUACAUUGCUAGAGAGUGGUAGAGGGAAGCGGAACUUCCGGUGUAGCGGUGAAAUGCGUAGAUAUCGGAAGGAACAUCAGUGGCGAAGGCGGCUUCCUGGCCCAUUUCUGACGUUGAGGUGCGAAAGCUAGGGGAGCAAACGGG